rnacentral:tRNA from 1 species
AUUCAUAUAGUUUAACAAAAACACUACAUUUUCAUUGUAAAAUUAAAAAUUAAUUUUUAUGAAUG